AGAAUAUUGAGUCAUUUUCCUGUUACCAUUUUUACUUAAAGAGCUAAAAAGUGUAAUAAGCAAUAUUCAUUUGACAAUGGUUAUGAAAUGACUUUAUAAAUUCUGUGUGUUUUUAUUUCAACAAAAAAAAUUUUUUUUUGCAAUUUUUUGGUGCAGUACACACUCAGAAGGGCUAAUGUGCUUGGUGUCUAAUCUGCUGAUAUUACCUACGUUGGUCUCUUUUAUACUUUAGUAUAUGUCUGUGGGUCAGGGAGAGCAUGAUGUUUGUUCUGUCUUCCAGCUUUCAAAGUUUUAUUUCCCAAAGCACCAAAGAGUAAAUAACUUAGAAGAGGAGAAAAGCCUGCCACCGUGUCUUACUAAUGAAGAGGAUCUUGGCUGUUUUCAGGAUGUUCUCCACAAUAAGAUACAUCAGAGUCAACUUACAGGACAAAAUAUGGGCUCCAGACUUUUGUUGUGCUCCUGUGGGCAGGCACCACCUCCCCUCCUGCCACACCAGAAUUCCAUCAGGGGACU
rnacentral:lncRNA from 1 species